GAAGGUCAAAUUGGGUCGUACAUUAGACCGUAUCUGAGCAGAAUGAGCCGUCCAUUAGGCUGAAUCUGAUGAUAAAAAAGGGGGUAGUCGUACACUAGACUACACUUCAAAAAUGUACCGUACACUAGGUAGCAUCUGAGGAGACGAAGGUCUAAUUGGGUCGUACAUUAGACCGUAUCUGAGCAGAAUGAGCCGUCCAUUAG
rnacentral:lncRNA from 1 species